GAAAUGAGAGUGGUCUAGAGAGAGAGAGACGAAUAUGACGUCACGACAAGAGAUUCCAUUCCCUUGAGUGUGUAUAUGCAAGGGGGGAGGGAAUAGAGGCACCAGGAGAAAUUUUCUGUGUGUGUGGUGUUUGUGUUGGUAUGUGUGAGUGUGAGAAGAUAAUGAGACGUGGGGGCAGAGGGUGUGUCACCGCGUGAGGUCCGGUGGGUCGAGGUGAGGCCCUUCAUUCGGUUCCGUCCUGCGCCAUAUUGGUCGGCCCGUGACGCAUUUAGGAAGACCCAUGGAUGACUAGUCGUACAAGACAAAGAUAGUAGAAUUUUGAAGGACUCUGUGUCCACUGACAAAGACGGCUAGGAUUUGUAACCCUAGGUUCUCAGACUAAGGUAACCCCUUUAUCUCUGAUAUUACUAUUCAUCCAACCUAACUUUAAGGGGCAUCCUACAGAAUGCUCUGCUAGAAUCAUACUCGUCAAUUAGGAAGAGAGGUGUGAGACAAUGCGUGAGAGACAGGCGUAAAGAUAAUGUGCGUACAUGAGACACAUAGGGAGGUCCAUGUAUAUAGAAAGGGUCGAUGAGGAUUGUGCGUGUGUAUGUUUGCGAGAGGAAGAGUGCUUGUGAUAAAGGUUAGUGAAAAUAGUUGUAAAUGGUUACGAGAGGGAGGGAGGGUUAUAUCUAGAGCAUGUGUGCAAGAAAGACACCUCGGGAGAGAGUGUGUGAGCAUGUGUGAGAGACCAUCGAUGGAGAGUGAAACUACACGUAAAAGACUACUCUACACAUUGAUUAAAGAUAUAAAUUGUAUCCAAAUAUUAGGAUGGGAUCAUGAUAUUUGCAAUUCGCGUAAGGAGCGGUCAUUGAUCCAUUAGACAUCUAGAUUCUAUCGAAUUUGAGCAUGUCUAUGUUAUUAUUCGACACAAUUGAUCCACAUAGUUAGUAUUUUGAACUCCAGACAAUGCAUCGCUUUAGCAAUCGAAUAUAAACGUGAGUAUAGUUCAUGUUGUGUGUGUAAAGCACAUUAUACAUACGGAAGUUACACAAUGGACAUUAUAAAUAGCUACAUAUGAACUAGCAUACAUUUGAAUUCAACUUAAGGUGGUUUAAAAAAAUCGAAUUCAACAUGAAGUCCAUUCAAUUAUUUGAAUUUGAUAUCAUGGCAUUUGUAAACCAUACCUAUAUUAUGGGGGCACCAAUCUUUGCUCUGAUUUUGUACAUAAUAGCAUAUGUAGUCGUGUACAAAAUAGAUUCAAAUUUAGCUCCUCCAUUCCAAAAUAAUCGUAGUUAUAGGAUUUUCAAGUGUCAAAAUUUCAAAAAGAAGCGAAUAAUUUAAUGAGGUUUUCAAACAUACAAGGUCAAAUAUAACGUUGUCUAUUUAGGUCAAUCCUCAUAGUUCAAGAGUACUCUAAACGUGAAUGCUUGUGUUUCAAAAUUUCGAAUGAAGCGCCAAAAGAGCCUCUACUCGCCCGAAACUGCGCGAGACCAAUGUUUGGUAGUACAAGGAAAUUACUUUUCUAACAACUCCGACCCGUGAAACCUACCGGCCCGACGUCCAAAGGUCUAACCCGGGGUAGGUUUGUAGCUACAUCUAGACGCCACACAACCGCAUCCGAAAAACAUUCAUACACAAUGGUCGCCUAAGCACACAUGCGCGCGGCCAAAAUCGCUCCCGCCCACUAUUUGGGACACCUGGGAUUACCAUCCUACCCCGACCCGCAGUAGGUCCAAAAUUGAAGAGGGGGGCAAAAUUUGUACUUUCCCCAAAUUUCAAACAAGCGCGUCCCAUCUUUUGUUCAAAAAAGCCAAAAACAAGCGCAUCCCAGACCGAAACAUUGUCCCCCCCCCCACCCGUCCGAUUCCCCAUUCGUACUUUGUGGGCACCAAAACUACCUCUCCACCAGCCGCGAAACCCCAGCGUCCUCUGUCCGCCACCCCAUCCCACCCAUCAACCGCCGCCCUCCUCCAUCACGCCGGAGCCGAUACCCCGACGUCGUCGUCCACCGCAACCUCAACCGCAACGCCCUCCACGGCUAGUAGUUGAAGCCGAGGCUGAGCCGUCCGUACCCGAGCCAGUUCAGCCAUGCCGUCCUGCGCCUCACCGCUGCCGCUCCAACUUCGCCACCCUCCACCGCACUAGAGCUGUUCCUGCUACGCCAUCCUUCGCCACCUCGGAUGUGCUUCCCCUCCGCCGACAUAUGGCCACGACAACACAAUCAACAAUUUGGCCAUGGGUUCUUCCAAACCUGCACCCUCCAGAACAUCGGUUUCCCCGAUAAAAAGAAGAAGAUCGGCGCGACAUGUGGAGGUGACCACACCGGCAACCGAAAAAGGUACUCCUCUUCCCUUAUUCGUGCAAAUCUUACGUCUCUGCUUGCACGGUAUUCAUCCCACAGAAGACACUAGUUAACCGCUUCUUCUUGAUACUAGAUGUUCCUAGUAACUCGCGAUGCACAAGGUUUCUCCUCAUAUACUAUUUCACCUUAGCUAGAGGUCCGUCGCCCCCCUGAAUUUCAAUUUCUGGCCAGUUGAUUCCCAAUUAACGGAAGAAUUCCCCGGCGUAAUAGGCGCUAGUACGCCUAUUAUGUCGGGGAAGCAACGCCUUAGUGUUUAUCUUAGGUGUGUGUGCGGCCUAGAGCUAUUGGCGCCCGAUUUGGAGGCCGACCGGGAUUAAAGGGAUGGCCUGGGGGCGCUGCCAAGCACGGCGGUGGUGUGAGGUCGAUGGGAGGGCGGGGCGGCGGAGGCAGGGGUCUGGGUUGGUGGUCGCUGGCGGUUUGAGAAAGAUCGUCAACAGUGACUGGAGGGAGGUAGACAAAGGCCAUCUGCCCAUUCCUUAUAGAUCGGAUGGUUCAUUAAAAAAAUCGACUGGCCUAUUUAUUUUCAGUCGACUGUUAUCUUAGAUAUGACCACAUGUGGUGGUGUGCUGCAGGAGUACUUGCUUUUCCUAUGCUCAUAUACUACAAAAUCAUACGGAGUAGAAUCUAAUUUUGUUUGCCAUGCAAUGUUGUAGAGCUAUCAUAUGUCUCCUGUCAUUUAUUUUUCAGCCACCUGCUACCUGCUACUUUUACAGUGCACUAGUUCUGCACACACUUCACCCUUACUCUCACUAUUGUGUUUUUAUGCAAGGGUAUUUCAGACUCUGCUGCCGUGAGAGAAGCCAAAAAGAAAAGAGAGAAGUCACUCUAGCUUCGUAUGCUAGUAGGCAAGGCACGUUACAGCGCUAUACAGGGUGCAGUGUCAGCAGAUGGAGACGGUAAACGUAGCUCUGGAGUUGAUGACCUCGCUCGCAAUGAACCACCAUCCCAGGUGCUUGCUUUAACUUCGCGGUGUCAUAUGUGGUUGCAUGUUCCAUAUGGUGUCUAGCUUGUAUUCGAAAGGCCGAAGUCGGUAAGAUAAGGAAAGAUAUUUUUUUACAUGAACCACCAUCCCGUGAGCACCAGAAGACAAAUGUCAGGACCCCGACUCGAUGUCACAUCGAUCUAGCCUGUAGCACCUCAUAUCACUUUGCGGCCUCACGCACGGUAUCCCCACGGGUGUCGCCUUACCUUUGCCCGGGACCGUUUGCGCCUUUUGGCUCACGUAUAUGAUAGUGUCGCUAGCAUCCAUAUGAUAAGGAGCCCGGGCUGACAUGACUAGUUGUAAACCCAAAGUGGCACAGACUUACAGGGACAGGCAUUCAUGACCCAGCCUCGAACGUGUCGAUCAACAGCAAGUGGGUCCGGGCUGUAGCACUGGGCUAGCAGGACUCCGGUAAACCGGGCUGUAGCGGGCUAACAGGACUCCGGUACUCAAUGCGUGACAUUUCCCCGAAGGGACAGACACCGGAACGAGGAAGGACACAUACCGGUCAGCCUAAGUGUUCCAGAGCAGUAGCAAGCUACCAUGGCUCAGCGGUAACACUAGGAGACAUUUCCCAGUAAGAGAGGCUACUAAAGAUAACAACUAGAUAGUCAGAUCCCACACAUACCAAGCAUUUCAAACAUACACACAAUAUGCUCGAUAUGUGCAAAUACAACGAAGCAUCACAACAUGACUCUACGACACAAGUACUUUAUUUAAGGCUCAGAGAGCCAUACAUAACAUACACAAAGGUACGGGUCACACGACCCAGCAUCCAAGUCAUACAGUCAUACAAACCAGCAGCAGAAGUAACUUGUCUGAGUACAGACAACUAGUAAAAUAAAAGAGGCUUGAAAGCCUAGCUAUACUACGUGGUCCUUCACAAGCUCAGGAUCACCACCUGGGCCUUAGCCUACUCAUUGAUGUCAACGUCUACGUAGAACCCAUCAGAAGGGGUUGCAGCGUCUUCUGUAAAAAUGUAAAUUAUAGCAACAUGAGUACAAAGGUACUCAACAAGACUUACAUGAGAUCCUACAUACAUGCAUAUUAUCAAGAAGGGUUGGUGGAGUUGUUGCAGCAAGCCAGCUUUGACUCUUGGCUAGACUAACCUACGAGACUCCAACUUGAAAUGGUUUUGCGCACACGAGUCCAUUACUCACCACUUCAAUACACUACCGAGGAUCCACCUCCGUCUCCCUACAGAAGAGCCAUCCUCGGCACUCACACUUAUCUUGAGGCUUUUAGUAGUUUCCAUUUACUUGUCUAUGAACUGUAUAGGCAACCAAGUAGUCCUUUACCACGGACGCGGCUAUUCGAAUAGAUCAUGUUAACUCUGCAGGGGUGUACUUCUUCAUACACGCUCUCACCACUUACCGUCGUUUACACGACAUGUACUCGGCAACCUUCAAGCGGAAGCCCAACGUGGGUGUCGGCCACGACCUACCUAACCACCUAAGCCUCCAGUCCAGGUUUAUCGCCUAUCCAGGUUCCAUCCGCAGGGAGUCCGGCCGAGGUUUCCCAUACGGCCCCGAACGAUGUGAACAGGGUUCCCGAGAUACCUAACGGGUAUUCGGUACACCCGGCCACGUACCUACCGCAUCACAGCCCACCCCUACGGUCAGCGCUGUCCACGGCCUCCAGUAGGCUACAAACACCAGAAACUACUUGCAACUCCUGGACGGAGAACUAGGUUGAAUAAGAAGCCGAGAGGGUCCAUUGGUUUCGGGCCCAAUGCAUGGUAGUAGCUGGUUCUUAAAUCACACAUACAGAUCUCAGUGCUUAAGGUCGGCUUCAAUGAAACAACCCACCAUGUACUCCUACAUGGCCUCUCAUCGAUACCUUUACCAAAUCGUGUUCACCGCACCACUCUCAUUACCUGACAUAAUCAUUUCACUCUAGCCCAUCACCCAGAUGAACCAGACCUGACACGACUCUAAGCAUAGCAGGCAUAGCAAGGUAGGAACAACACAUACAUAUGGCUCAAUCAACUCCUACACAUGCUAGUGGGUUUCAUCUAGUUACUGUGGCAAUGACAGGUCAUGCAGAGGAAAUGGGUUCAACUAUCGCAGCACACAGCAGUUUGAAACGCGUUGUCUUAAUGCAGUAAAAGAGAGCAGGAGCGAGAACAUGGGAUUGUAUCAAUAUGAUCAAAUGGUUGGUUGCUUGCCUGAUGGUUCGAUGCACUGAUACGGUUCUUCGUUAGGGUAAUCACGAUACGCCUCGGGGGCAGAUCCUGCCGCAAGAAUACCGAUACACAACCAUUACCAAACAAUGUGCAACAAUAUGAUGCAUGCAUGAAACAUAGCAAUAUGAGUGUGUUGGGCUAAUGCAACUAAGACCAGAAGGGUUUGAACCAAUUUGAAUCAAAGAUUCAAAUUUCAAACUCAAACAUGGCCUUUUAAAGUGCUUUUCCUUGUUCUGCAUUAAACAUCAGGUUAACUUGUUUAAUCAUGCAUGAAAAUAGUACAGAUGGAUAGAUUGGAUUUUUCUGAUCAUUUUUCAUAUAUAAUUUGUCUGAUUUGGAGUUACAGAAUAAAAGUUAUGAAUUUUUGAAGUUUAAAUUAUAUUCUGGAAUUUCCUAUAUUAGAAUAAUUCCAGAAAAUCAAUUAUUGCGUCAGCCUGACGUCAGUGUGACGUCAGCAGGUCAACGGAACACGUCUGGGUCAAACCUGACAGUGGGUCCCGCGUGUCAGGGUGAUUAAGUUAAUUAGAGUUUAAUUAAAACUAAACCUGUUUAAUUAACAGGGCUGGGCCCCACCUGUCAUUGACUCAGGGGAGUCAACCAGGGCCCACCCGUGGUCAAACCCGGGUCGGCUGCACCGGCGUUUAGCCGCCGGCGAGCCCGACGCGGCGGCGGAAGUGAUUUUUGCCGUUCCGGCAACCAAACGAGCCGCGGAGGCCACCGGAGAGGAGCUGAGGUCGAGCCGCAGCUCUUGGUGGAGUCCGUUGGGGUCGGGGUGGCCGGAGUUGGCGCCGGCGACGACUUUGGCGGCCACCGGAGUUCGGCCAAAGUCGAACUUGUCGCUAGGGGGGAUCGGUGAGGUGCGGGGAGUGCACGGUUGGGCCUAACGCAGCGUAGUGAGUGCGUUGGACACCGCGGGUUGGACGGAGGAUGGCCGGGGGCACGUCGGCGACGAGAUCCGCGGCGGUGCGUGCGUGUGAUCUUCGUGCGGUGGCUGCACGGCUCGGGAAAGAGGGAGAGAGGGUCGGAGGGGUAGCUAGGCUCACAGCGCUCCCGUAGAGGCCACCGGCGAGGUCGGGGACGAGCUGAGGCGGCGACAGCGUUGAAGGGGAUCUCCGGCGACGGCGAGCUCGGGCGAGGUCGGUGCGGUGGUCUCGGGCUGCACGAGCACACGGGGCUCGGCUAGCUCGAUGAAGUGGACGGCGGCGGAGCUCCUGGACACAGUAGCACGGCGUGGGGUUGACAGAGGGCGUGGCUACGGCGAGGGGGUGGCGGCGAUGGCGUCGGCCAUGGCGUGGGAGAGCGAGGGAGAGGAGCUGGAGAGGAGAGGGGGUGUCUGGGAGGUUCGGGGGAGAGAGGGAAGCCGAUUCACGGCGUUAGCCGGGCGAGGGAGGCGGCGAGGCGGCGANNNNNNNNNNCCUGGACACAGUGGCAUGGCGUGGGGUUGACGGAGGGCGUGGCUACGGCGAGGGGGUGGCGGCGAUGGCGUCGGCCAUGGCGUGGGAGAGCGAGGGAGAGGAGCUGGAGAGGAGAGGGGGUGUCUGGGAGGUUCGGGGGAGAGAGGGAAGCCGAUUCACGGCGUUAGCCGGGCGAGGGAGGCGGCGAGGCGGCGAGCAGGUGCGUGGCACCCAUGCGGUGCUCGCCGUCGAGCACCUGCCUGCCUGCCUGGCCGGCAAGCAGCUCGCUGGCGCGGUGCUGGGCUGGGCCGGCAGGUGGGCCGGGUGCUGGGCGCCAGGUAAGCUUUUCCAUUUUCUUUCUGUUUUCUGUUUUUUUUAAUACUUCUGCAACUUUGUUGAAUUAAAUAAAAUACUUAGGCAACUCCAAAAAUCACCAAACUAAUCCUGGACCAUAGUUGGAUUAUUUCCAACAUGAAACAUUUUAGUUUGGAGUUAUUUGAGCAUUUAAAUAUUUUAUAUAAUUUUAAAUGCCCAAAUUCAAAUACUUAUGAUUUAAUUCAAAAACCCUAGGAUGGCCUAGGAAAAUGUGCACCACUUUUGGCAGAGGUUCUGAACCAAGACAAAAAUGAUGGGCAUUUUAGAAGGGCAUUUCAGGUUCAUUGAAAAAGUUUUUAGUAAACCCUAAUUGGUUUCAGAGGGGACUGGGGGUUCUGUCAUCCCCAUUUCAGGUUUCUGAUGAAAGAGUAAACAUGAUGCAACACUCUAAUGCAUGACUAGUUAGGGUGUGACAACUCACCCCCACUCAAAAGAAUCUUGUCCCGAGAUUUGGGUUCCUCCGGAAAGAAGGCGGGAUACUCAAGUCGAAGACGAUCCUCCCUUUCCCAAGUUGCUUCAUCCUCAGAAUGGUGCGACCAUUGAACUUUGAGAAACUUGAUAUUAUGACGUCGAGUGGUACGCUCGGCCCGAUCGAGGAUACGAAUGGGGUACUCUCGAUAUGUAAGAUUAUCUUGGAGAUCAAGCGUUUCGUGGUCCACUCCACGGAUAGGAUCCGAGAAGCAACGCCUGAGUUGGGAAACGUGGAAGACAUCGUGGACUCUGGAGAGGUGCGGAGGUAGUUCCAACUGGUAGGCAACUUCUCCUCGUUUGGUGAGAAUGCGAAAAGGUCCAAUGUAAUGAGGAGCCAAUUUGCCUUUGAUACUGAAACGAUGGGUUCCCUUCAGAGGGGUAACCCGAAGGUAAGCCUUCUCGUCAAUCUCGAAAGUCAUAGCCUUAUGUUUUCGGUCAUAUUGACUCUUCUGACGGGAUUGGGCUGUUUUCAAUUUUUCACGAACGAUGCGAACUUGCUCUUCUGCUUCCUGAAUCAUAUCCGGGCCAAAGAAUUGUCUUUCCCCGGUCUCUGACCAGUUAAGGGGUGUUCGACACCGUCGUCCAUAGAGAACUUCAAAAGGGGCUUUCCCCAAGCUAGAUUGAUAGCUGUUGUUGUAAGCGAAUUCGGCAAAUGGAAGGCAUUUCUCCCAAUCCAUUCCGAAUGAGAUGACAGAGGCUCGAAGCAUGUCUUCUAGAAUCUGGUUGACGCGUUCCACUUGACCACUCGACUGAGGGUGGAAAGCGGUGCUAAAGGAGAGACGGGUUCCCAUAGCAUUUUGGAAACUUUCCCAAAAUCGAGAGGUGAAAAGACUUCCUCGAUCCGAGUUAAUUUCCAAAGGAACACCAUGGAGAGACACUAUCCGGGAGAUGUAUAAGUCUGCCAAUUGACUAGCGGUUAUACUCUCACGAACAGGUAGGAAAUGGGCUACUUUGGAAAGGCGAUCGACAACGACGAAGAUAGCAUUAUUCCCUCUCUUGGUCCUGGGAAAACCGGUAAUGAAAUCCAUACCAAUUUUAUCCCAUUUCCAUUCAGGAAUAGCUAAGGGUUGAAGGGUGCCAGCAGGCCGUUGAUGCUCUGCUUUUACACGACGACAGACAUCGCAAUUAGCAAUAUACUGAGCAAUUUCUCUCUUCAUCCUAGUCCACCAGAACCUUUGGCGUAGAUCCUGAUACAUCUUGGUACUACCGGGAUGAAUGGUGAGAGGAGAUUCAUGAGCUUCCUUAAGGAUCAAUCGUCUCAGGUUUCGCACCUUGGGAACCACUAGUCGAUUCCCGAAGUAUACGACCCCUUGAUCAUUAAUGGAGAAACAAUUCGCAACUCCUUUCUUGAUGUUUCUCUUGAUGCGGGAAAUUCCCGGAUCUACCUUCUGUGCUUUGAUGAUCUGAUCCGUAAGGGUAGGUUUUGCCACCAAGGUGGAAAGAAAUCCUUGAGGAACAAUGUGAAAGUUAAGCUUCCGAAAUUCCUCAUGGAGAAGCGGUUGACUUUGUUGUAACAUCAGGUUGUUACAAUAAGAUUUACGACUUAGCGCAUCAGCCAUGACGUUGGCUUUCCCUGGGGUGUAAGUUAUUCCUAAGUCGAAAUCUGUGAUCAACUCAACCCAACGUCUUUGUCUGAGAUUCAAAUCCGGUUGGGUGAAAAUGUACUUCAGACUUUGGUGAUCAGUGAAUAUUUCGCAACGGUUACCGAGGAGGUAAUGUCGCCAGGUCUUAAGUGCAUAGACUACGGCUGCAAGCUCUAGAUCAUGAGUAGGAUAAUUCUCCUCAUGUGGGUGCAAUUGCCGUGAAGCGUAGGCAAUUACGUGUCGAUCUUGCAUGAGAAUGCAACCUAGUCCUUGUCGCGAGGUGUCGCAGUAGAUAACAAAGUCCUUGGAGAAGUCUGGCGGUACCAGUACGGGAGCAGAAGUCAGGCGUCUUUUCAGUUCCUGAAAGCUGUGCUCACAUUGUGGAGUCCAUUCGAAGUUCUUAUCUUUCUUGAGGAGUUCGGUUAGAGGUUUGGCAACUUUGGAGAAGUUCUCGACAAAGCGACGACAAUAGCUCGCUAAGCCCAGAAAACUCCGAACUUGCUUGACCGAUUCAGGUGGAGUCCAAUUAAGGACGGCUUGAACUCGCUCAGGGUUAACAGCAAUACCUUUACCAGAUAUUACAUGACCCAGAUAGGUCACUUCUGACAACCAAAAUUCACAUUUGGAAAACUUGGCAUAAAGGCGAUGCUCUCGAAGUUUCUUCAACACUAGCCUUAGAUGUUCGGCAUGUUCUUCCUCGUUCUUGGAGUAGAUGAGUAUAUCAUCGAGGUAAACCACAACGAAUUUAUCUAAAUACUCCAUGAAGAUUGAGUUCAUUAACCGAGAAAAGGUGGAUGGAGCGUUGGUUAAACCGAAGGACAUGACGGUGUACUCGUAUUGGCCAUAACGAGUAACAAAGGCCGUUUUAGGAAUGUCCCCAUUUCUAAUUUUGAUUUGAUGGUAGCCCAACCUCAAAUCCAUCUUGGAGAAGACUGAGGAUCCAGCGAGCUGAUCAUACAGAUCGUUGAUCCUGGGGAGCGGAUAUUUGUUCUUGAUUGUGACCAGAUUGACAGGUCGAUAAUCUACAACCAUCCGGUCCGUACCAUCCUUCUUCUUGACGAAGAGGACGGGGCAAGCCCACGGAGAUGAACUAGGUCGGAUGAAACCCUUUUUCAAGGACUCAUCGAGUUGUUUCUUUAGCUCGGCUAGUUCUAGUGGUGCCAUCUUAUAGGGUCUUCUAGCAAUCGGAACGGUUCCUGGAAUGAGGUCUAUUACGAACUCAACAUCCCUGUCAGGUGGAACACCUGGCAAUUCCUUUGGGAAGACAUCCGGGAAGUCACGAACUACCGGAACAUCCUCAAGGUCUGGCAAAGGGCUGGCGUUAAGAGAAUAUAAUUGUUGCUUGGCUAAUCGGGUCAAGACAUUGACUAUCCUGCCCGAAGGGUGAGUGAGUUGAACGGUCCUAGAGAAGCAAUCAAUUUUGGCAUGAUGAGCUGACAUUCAGUCCAUACCCAAAAUGAUAUUAAUAUCUGAAAAUUCGAGAGCUAUCAAAGAUGCAAGGAAAACAAGUCUGUCGACUUGGAUUUCAUUUCCAUAACUUACCCUGGAGGUCUGCCAUCUAGAACCAGGAGUAGAAAUUUCCAUAGUGGAUGGCAUGUCACAGAAUGCGGUGUUAUGCAAACGAGCAUAGUUCUCGGAUAUAAAUGAAUGAGAGGCUCCUGUAUCGAAAAGAACAGAUGCCGGAUGGCAAUUAACAAGGAGCGUACAGAGAACGACGUUGGGAUCCUCUUGAGCUUCUUAGGCAGAGAUACAGUUGACGUGGCCACGUGUAGCGGUGGCCGGCUUGGCGUGGAACACUUUCCAUGUCGGUUUGCCACGGCCAACAGCUUUAGCAGACUGGUUGGGGUUGGUCUGGGGACACUCACGCAUAUAGUGGCCAGAUUCCCCACACUUGAAACAAGUCACGGAACUAGUACGUGGAGGAGCAUUGUUGGUUGGACCCCCAUAGGGCUUGGCUGGAGCAGACUGUUGCACAGGGCGAGGCGCCUGGAAAGAUGGCCUCGGUGUGAACCUGGGUGGCAGGGCGGUGUUGGGCACCCACACGCGGCGCUUCUGAGGACCAGCACCGGAUGAGGAACCUAUGUCACGGCCAUGCUUGCGUGUUGCGUCAUAAUCAGUCUGACCAGUUUCAGCACUGAUGGCCUUGUUAACAAGUUUCUGAAAGGAUGUGCACUCAUGCAGACGGAGGUCGCGGCGAAGCUCAGGACUAAGCCCCUUACGGAACCUUGCUUGCUUCUUGGCACCAGUAGAAACUUCCUCAGUUGCAUAUCGUGCGAGGUUACCAAACUCCCUGCCGUAAGCAUCCACAGAGAGUCGGCCCUGAGUGAAAUUGCAAAAUUCCUCACGUUUACGGUCCAUGAGACCCUCCAGAAUGUGAUGUUCACGGAAAGCCUCGCUGAAUUCAGCCCAAGUAGUGACAUGGCCCGCUGGGCGCAUAGCUCCAUAAUUCUCCCACCAUAGACUGGCGGGACCUUCAAGAUGAUAUGCAGCAAAGGUGACCUUGUCAGCCUCCGCUACCAGCGCGGAACACAGUUUGUGAGAAAUACUGCGAAGCCAGUCAUUAGCGUCGAGAGGCUCGACGGAGUGGUGGAACGUGGGUGGAUGUAAUUUGAUAAAAUCACUGAGUGACACCACGUUAGUCCUCUGAUGGUGUGCUGUGUUCUGUUCAAUACGUUCCAACAAACGGUUGGUCUCCCGCUUGUUUCUCUCAGCUUCCAUCAUAACCUCGGCUAGGGAAGGAGGAUGAGGCAGAUUUGCAUUCCUGACUUCACUGCCUUCGGCCUGCUCUUGAGGAGCAGGGUUAGUGCGCGUGUUGACCAUCCUAGGUAAACAAGACAAUGAUUUAGUCAGAAUGAUAAAAUUCCGACAUAGGAUACAAAAUGUAAGGAAUAACUCGAAAUGCAAGAUGAUCAUCCGUAUGACAUGGUAGAUACAGAAACUGCUUCUUUAUUCCAUCGUCAUACACACCAUAUAGGGUUUAGUACAAGACCAAACAAAGUACUAAUAUGGUGAAAAGAGGAUUACAUCUCAUCGGAGGCAUCCCAAGCUCCUAUACAUUAUCCCACGAGUCACGCAGGACGAUAGACGACACAACUAGUACGAACUAGUGAUACUACCAGUAACUCAGACCGAUCCGUAGUAGUUCUCGUAGAAGUCACCUCCAUAGCCUGGAAGCUCACCAUGAUCAUCCGGAAACAGACGAUCUCGCGGAGCUUGUGGACCAUAGGGACUAGGAUGAGGUCUUGGACCAACAGACGGUGGCCUGCGGGGACCGCGAGGUGGGGUGAUGCCUCCUACAUCACGCCAACCCAUCACGUCUGGCAGAGCAGAUCUCACAGGAUAGAGAUCGCGCAUAUCCGAAUAUCCAGCUUGCACCGCCGGUGCAAACCGAGUCAAUGUGGCCCAAUGGUCAGCACGGGUAUUGAAGAGCUCUAACCUCAAGGCCCGAUUUUCACGGUCCUUAUCCUCGAGCAUCUCAGCAGUGGUGCGAGUCCGUGAAUCGUCCUGAGUGGGGUCAGCAUAGAUAGCCUGGAGAUACCCUUGUGCUCCCGGAAGUGAUCCUGGCAUAUACCGGAAAUCAGAGUCCCGAAAUAGACCAGAUCUGACUCGCAUGAUGGUCAUCAUAGAGUAGGCGGCGUCCUGCACAGCCAUCUCAAUAGUAACCCCGAGUCCAUAGGAGCAGUGAAGGGGCUUGGUGGACCCAGGAUAAGAUGGAAAUAUCCUGACAGUGCAGAGAUACUGGCUUUGAUUAAAGUCUCGGAAUUGCUCUUCGACCGUGUACUCAGGAUACCAACGGUAUCCAGCCUCAGUCAUUACCCUGACCAACAUGGCAGUAUGGCCGGGUACAUCUAGGCAUCGAGUCAGGCGAACCACUUGAUUAAGGUCGCGAGUGGCCAUCUGAAAACACAAUCAUAAUGCAAAGGCAUUAGAAUUUCUAGCAAAAUUUCGGCAGCAUAACAGCUGUAAAUGCUCAAGAAGGAUUUUGAGACAUUUGACAAAGGAUUACAUACACACUCAUCAUCAUCAUAUCAAGUUCUGAGUCCAUCCUAGCAACAUAAUGUGGUAGUAGAAUUGAACUAGGCUUGUAUCCAUCAAACUUAUAAGGUACUACUAAUUAGUAACACGUGAUCCCGAUGGAGAGAAUAGAUCCUAAUUCCUUAACCCCCGGUGGAAGGAUAGACUGACUCAGAUCAGAAUGUUAUAAGAUAAAGGAGUAAAAGAGCCUUACGUUCCAACCCACAAACAAUUCCCCUACAUAUAACUAAAGAAUUUCUAGACUCAACAUCGACCAGUUUGGCUUGGAGAACCUACAGGCAGUCCGGCUCUCAUGCCAACGCUGUCAGGACCCCGACUCGAUGUCACAUCGAUCUAGCCUGUAGCACCUCAUAUCACUUUGCGGCCUCACGCACGGUAUCCCCACGGGUGUCGCCUUACCUUUGCCCGGGACCGUUUGCGCCUUUUGGCUCACGUAUAUGAUAGUGUCGCUAGCAUCCAUAUGAUAAGGAGCCCGGGCUGACAUGACUAGUCGUAAACCCAAAGUGGCACAGACUUACAGCGACAGGCAUUCAUGACCCAGCCUCGAACGUGUCGAUCAACAGCAAGUGGGUCCGGGCUGUAGCACUGGGCUAGCAGGACUCCGGUAAACCGGGCUGUAGCGGGCUAACAGGACUCCGGUACUCAAUGCGUGACAUUUCCCCGAAGGGACAGACACCGGAACGAGGAAGGACACAUGCCGGCCAGCCUAAGUGUUCCAGAGCAGUAGCAAGCUACCAUGGCUCAGCGGUAACACUAGGAGACAUUUCCCGGUAAGAGAGGCUACUAAAGAUAACAACUAGAUAGUCAGAUCCCACACAUACCAAGCAUUUCAAACAUACACACAAUAUGCUCGAUAUGUGCAAAUACAACGAAGCAUCACAACAUGACUCUACGACACAAGUACUUUAUUUAAGGCUCAGAGAGCCAUACAUAACAUACACAAAGGUACGGGUCACACGACCCAGCAUUCAAGUCAUACAGUCAUACAAACCAGCAGCGGAAGUAACUUCUCUGAGUACAGACAACUAGUAAAAUAAAAGAGGCUUGAAAGCCUAGCUAUACUACGUGGUCCUUCACAAGCUCAGGAUCACCACCUGGGCCUUAGCCUACUCAUUGAUGUCAACGUCUACGUAGAACCCAUCAGAAGGGGUUGCAGCGUCUUCUGUAAAAAUGUAAAUUAUAGCAACAUGAGUACAAAGGUACUCAUCAAGACUUACAUCAGAUCCUACAUACAUGCAUAUUAUCAAGAAGGGUUGGUGGAGUUGUUGCAGCAAGCCAGCUUUGACUCUUGGCUAGACUAACCUACGAGACUCCAACUUGAAAUGGUUUUGCGCACACGAGUCCAUUACUCACCACUUCAAUACACUACCGAGGAUCCACCUCCGUCUCCCUACAGAAGAGCCAUCCUCGGCACUCACACUUAUCUUGAGGCUUUUAGUAGUUUCCAUUUACUUGUCUAUGAACUGUAUAGGCAACCAAGUAGUCCUUUACCGCGGACGCGGCUAUUCGAAUAUAUCAUGUUAACCCUGCAGGGGUGUACUUCUUCAUACACGCUCUCACCACUUACCGUCGUUUACACGACAUGUACUCGGCAACCUUCAAGCGGAAGCCCAACGUGGGUGUCGGCCACGACCUACCUAACCACCUAAGCCUCCAGUCCAGGUUUAUCGCCUAUCCAGGUUCCAUCCGCAGGGAGUCCGGCCGAGGUUUCCCAUACGGCCCCGAACGAUGUGAACAGGGUUCCCGAGAUACCUAACGGGUAUUCGGUACACCCGGCCACAUAUCUACCGCAUCACAGCCCACCCCUACGGUCAGCGCUGUCCACGGCCUCCAGUAGGCUACAAACACCAGAAACUACUUGCAACUCCUGGACGGAGAACUAGGGUGAAUAAGAAGCCGAGAGGGUCCAUUGGUUUCGGGCCCAAUGCAUGGUAGUAGCUGGUUCUUAAAUCACACAUACAGAUCUUAGUGCUUAAGGUCGACUUCAAUGAAACAACCCACCAUGUACUCCUACAUGGCCUCUCAUCGAUACCUUUACCAAAUCGUGUUCACCGCACCACUCUCAUUACCUGACAUAAUCAUUUCACUCUAGCCCAUCACCCAGAUGAACCAGACCUGACACGACUCUAAGCAUAGCAGGCAUAGCAAGGUAGGAACAACACAUACAUAUGGCUCAAUCAACUCCUACACAUGCUAGUGGGUUUCAUCUAGUUACUGUGGCAAUGACAGGUCAUGCAGAGGAAAUGGGUUCAACUACCGCAGCACACAGCAGUUUGAAACGCGUUGUCUUAAUGCAGUAAAAGAGAGCAGGAGCGAGAACAUGGGAUUGUAUCAAUAUGAUCAAAUGGUUGGUUGCUUGCCUGAUGGUUCGAUGCACUGAUACGGUUCUUCGUUAGGGUAAUCACGAUACGCCUCGGGGGCAGAUCCUGCCGCAAGAAUACCGAUACACAACCAUUACCAAACAAUGUGCAACAAUAUGAUGCAUGCAUGAAACAUAGCAAUAUGAGUGUGUUGGGCUAAUGCAACUAAGACCAGAAGGGUUUGAACCAAUUUGAAUCAAAGAUUCAAAUUUCAAACUCAAACAUGGCCUUUUAAAGUGCUUUUCCUUGUUCUGCAUUAAACAUCAGGUUAACUUGUUUAAUCAUGCAUGAAAAUAGUACAGAUGGAUAGAUUGGAUUUUUCUGAUCAUUUUUCAUAUAUAAUUUGUCUGAUUUGGAGUUACAGAAUAAAAGUUAUGAAUUUUUGAAGUUUAAAUUAUAUUCUGGAAUUUCCUAUAUUAGAAUAAUUCCAGAAAAUCAAUUAUUGCGUCAGCCUGACGUCAGUGUGACGUCAGCAGGUCAACGGAACACGUCUGGGUCAAACCUGACAGUGGGUCCCGCGUGUCAGGGUGAUUAAGUUAAUUAGAGUUUAAUUAAAACUAAACCUGUUUAAUUAACAGGGCUGGGCCCCAACUGUCAUUGACUCAGGGGAGUCAACCAGGGCCCACCCGUGGUCAAACCCGGGUCGGCUGCACCGGCGUUUAGCCGCCGGCGAGCCCAACGCGGCGGCGGAAGUGAUUUUUGCCGUUCCGGCAACCAAAUGAGCCGCGGAGGCCACCGGAGAGGAGCUGAGGUCGAGCCGCAGCUCUUGGUGGAGUCCGUUGGGGUCGGGGUGGCCGGAGUUGGCGCCGGCGACGACUUUGGCGGCCAUCGGAGUUCGGCCAAAGUCGAACUUGUCGCUAGGGGGAUAGGUGAGGUGCGGGGAGUGCACGGUUGGGCCUAACGCAACGUAGUGAGUGCGUUGGACACUGCGGAUUGGCCGGAGGAUGGCCGGGGGCACGUCGGCGACGAGAUCCGCGACGGUGCGUGCGUGUGAUCUUCGUGCGGUGGCUGCACGGCUCGGGAAAGAGGGAGAGAGGGUCGGAGGGGUAGCUAGGCUCACAGCGCUCCCGUAGAGGCCACCGGCGAGGUCGGGGACGAGCUGAGGCGGCGACGGCAUUGAAGGGGAUCUCCGGCGACGGCAAGCUCGGGCGAGGUCGGUGCGGUGGUCUCGGGCCGCACGAGCACACGGGGCUCGGCUAGCUCGAUGAAGUGGAUGGCGGCGGAGCUCCUGGACACAGUAGCACGGCGUGGGGUUCGGGGGAGAGAGGGAAGCCGAUUCACGGCGUUAGCCGGGCGAGGGAGGCGGCGAGGCGGCGAGCAGGUGCGUGGCACCCAUGCGGUGCUCGCUGUCGAAUACCUGCCUGCCUGGCUGGCUGGCAAGCAGCUCGCUGGCGCGGUGCUGGGCUGGGCCGGCAGGUGGGCCGGGUGCUGGGCGCCAGGUAAGCUUUUCCAUUUUCUUUCUGUUUUCUGUUUUUUUUAAUACUUCUGCAACUUUGUUGAAUUAAAUAAAAUACUUAGGCAACUCCAAAAAUCACCAAACUAAUCCUGGACCAUAGUUGGAUUAUUUCCAACAUGAAACAUUUUAGUUUGGAGUUAUUUGAGCAUUUAAAUAUUUUAUAUAAUUUUAAAUGCCCAAAUUCAAAUACUUAUGAUUUAAUUCAAAAACCCUAGGAUGGCCUAGGAAAAUGUGCACCACUUUUGGCAGAGGUUCUGAACCAAGACAAAAAUGAUGGGCAUUUUAGAAGGGCAUUUCAGGUUCAUUGAAAAAGUUUUUAGUAAACCCUAAUUGGUUUCAGAGGGGACUGGGGGUUCUGUCAUCCCCAUUUCAGGUUUCUGAUGAAAGAGUAAACAUGAUGCAACACUCUAAUGCAUGACUAGCUAGGGUGUGACAACAAAUAGCUAGUCAGGGCAUUGGACGAGCCAGUGACAAGCCCAGCAAAGAUAGGCAUCACCUGGAAGCCAACUAAAAAGCUGCGAUGGUGGCGAAGCAGCCCGCCUCCCACCAGGCUCUCAGGUCCUAGAUGAUCAUGCUCACCACUCCAGCCGGAUGUCUAGCUUGUAUUGCUUCCAAUUUGGUUAAAUUGCAUCUGCUUAGCUUACACAUUAUACCUUUGAAUAUGACAUGCCUUUCUGUUUUUGGUACAUACUAGUACAUCUGUGUAUUAACCAUGUUCUUACAUCAAACUAAUGUUCUUGUGUAUCCCUCAUCAAUCACUUAUGAUGAGGCAGGCAGGCAAGGGGACUACUCCUCAUUUAAAGAAUGCAGCAUCAGCCUCCCGACAUGAUUCUCAAGAAACAUAAAUGCUAGAUGAAGAUAAUGAACGUAGCUCUGUAGUUGAUUACAGCAUUUCCCCUAGACUAGCAUCGCAGGUGCUUGCUCUAACUUGGCAGCGUGAUAUGUGGUUGCAUGUUGCAUAUGGUGUCUAGAUUGUAAUUCUUCCAAUCUGGUUAAACUGCAUGUGCUAGUCUGCUUAGCUUAUACAUUAUACCUGUUAAUGUGACAUGCCUUCCUGUAUUUAGUACAUAGUACAUCUGUCUAUUAAGCAUGUCCUUACAUAAAACUAUUAUUUUUUUGUAUCCUGCAUCAAUCAACAUGACGAGACACCUUUAGUAUAUGCAGUGCGAUAUUAGUUGCAUCUUUCAUAUGAUUUAUAGCAUGCGCUGCUUCUAAUUUGUUGAAAUUCCAUUUAUGAUGGGACGCUUUUAACUUGGUAGAGUCAUAUUGGUUGCAUCUUUCAUGUGGUGUCUAGCUUGCACUGCUUCUUAUUUGCUGGAAUGGUUUCUGCUUAGUUUACACAAACAGUUGUGAACAUGCCAUGCCGUCCUGUUUUUCGUACAUAUUCCAUCCUGGUAUCAUGUGUUUGCCUUACAUCAAAGUAGUGAUUGUCAGUAUCAUGCAUGAAUGAGUUCUGAAGAGAGAAUUUUAUUGCUUUUUCUUGUCGGUUUUACUUGACAAUUCAAAAUCAAUAAAGCGGAAGGAAGUUAGCAAGGCAACGGAUAAAGGUGCUCCUUCCAAAUGGAGGGCCCCUACAGUUUCUACUCCUCCACACCCCAAUAUGAUUUCCAAGACAACACAUGCAUAGACACUCAACAAAGCUGUGUUUAUGAUGAGCACGUCUCCCCAAGUGGAGCAUCACCGGUGCUCCCUCUAACUUGGCACUGUUAUAUGUGGUUGCAUAUUAUGUGUGAUGUCUAGCUUGUAUUGCUUCUAAUUUUGUUGAAUUCCAUCUGCUUACUUUACACAUUAUACUUGAAUAAGACACGUGUUCCUAUUUCUAGAACAUACAAUAUCUGUCUAUCACACCAUGUUCUUGCAUCAAAUUACUACUGUUGUGUAACCUACAACAAUCACUUAUCAUAAGACACGUUUGACUUCAGAGUGUGAUAUAGGUUACAUCUCACAUUCUUUUCUAGCUUGUACUACUAAUUUGUUGAAAUGGCACUUAUGACGAGACAGUUUUAACUUGGUAGAGUGAUAUUCGUUGCAUCUUUCAUAUGGUGUCUGGCUUUCAUUGCUUCUAAUUUGUUGAAAUGCCUUCUCCUUAGUUUACACAUCAUAAGCCGUGAAUAUGAAAUGCUGUGAAUAUGCAAUGGCAGUAAUGACGAGAGACCUCUAACACGGUAGUGUGAUGUUGUUUGCAUCUUGCAUAUGAUUUAUUUCUUGUACUGCUUCACAUUCGUUUAAACGCCAUUUAUGAUGAGACACUGUUAACUUGGCAGAGCGAUAUUUGUAGCAUCUUUCAUAUGGUGUCUACCUUCCAUUGCAUUGCUUCUAAUUUGGUGAAAUGUCUUCUUCUUAGUUUACACAUCAUAGUUAUGGUUAUCUCUUCCGUCCUGUUUUUCAUACAUAUUACAUCCUCCUAUCAUGUGGUUGUCUAACAUCAAAAUUCAGUUUGUCUGCAUCACACAUCAAUUUGUUCUGAAGAACUAAAUUGUUACUCGUUUUUCUUGUUGGCUUGACUUAACAUGGCACAGAGAAAGAGGAAGAAACACAGAAUGACAGGGAAUGAGAAGCGGAUGAAUCCUGCAUAUUCUGCUGGUACUGAUGGUGCAAUAGAAGGUCAAAGUUCAGCGGAAAAUUCUACAAACACGACAUCCCAUGCUACACGAGUUGCAAAAAAAAACCAAACAGAAACAAAUAGCUGCCACCAAACAAGCAGAGACAGCCCUAGUUCUUGCAACACCUACCACAAUACUACCAGCUGCACGACUUACUCGUGCGUCAACUGAGCUAGCAGCAUGUUCCCAAGCUCCCUUGCCACCUGACACUACUUCCCAAGCACUCUUGACACAAGACGAGUUGGCAAUAUCAGAUGAACCUUGUGAGCUUCAACAGCAAGAAGGUAGUUGCUGGAGUCAAGUUACAGUUGCAUGCUUCUUUAUAUGUAGUCUCACAGCUUGAUGUACACUAACACUUCCUAUGUUCGUUGUUGGACUAGCACCUAGGUGCAAGAGGAAACAAACAUCAGGGAUAAUGCUCGAUAAGUUAACUAAAUCUAGAGGAGGAAGAAUGGAGAUCCAUUUUGAGGUAGGUUUAAAAAGACCACAUGAUGCUACAGAGUCAGCCAAGUUAGUAUCAGAGGCAGCGGUUGUCGUUAGGUGUCAUGUACGUAUCCUCCCAACAUUGAUUCAGUACAGGAAUGACAAAGACGAAACCCAGUUCAACACCUUCCUCGACCAUUUAUCUGUAAGUAUGGUUAUGUAUGGAAACUAGUAAUAUCGUCUUGCUCUGUCCCAUACUUUCUAGGUUGCUGAUAAUGAGACUCCCAUAAUUUUCAACAGAUGAGGUUCAAGUUGGAUAGCCAAGAUGAUGCAACCAGACAAGCUUGCACCCAUGUUUUCAAGUCUGCUCUGCGACAGUAUCGGUAUAACUUGAGGAAAACUCACUUUGAAGGAAAGGCUAACAGUGAACUUUCCCAAACAUCUCUAGUGGAAAAUAUAUCAGAUGAAGACUGGAGGGGCCUUGUUAAACACUAAUCUGAUCCGAAGUAUCAGGUACAUUAUAUAUAUGUGAUCAGAUCACAUGUUGAAGUCCUAUUUACGCAUGUGCCACACAAAUCUAUCUUCUUGUAGGUGAACUAUUCGAAGAACAAGGCCAACCAUACGAAAGUGAAAUUCCAACAGACGACAGGAUCUCGUAUCAAUAUUGCACACUGCGAGGCUCUUGUAAUUAGCUGCUGUUUCACUCUUUUCACUGGACCAUAUUAUCAGAUCUAUAUUAACUUGUUCGAAAUGCAGAGGAAAGCCCACAAGGACCAAAAAGUACCCGAACCAAAUGCUGUGGAAAUCUUCAAGGACUGUCACACCAGCAAGAAGAAGGGUAUGACUACACCAGUCAAAGCCGCUGUUGUAAGUCCUUAAUCCUCAUGCCUUUUAACUACUACUUACUCUGACUUGUGCCUUGAACUGCAUGGUUUGCAGCCAAUGUCUAUUACUCUUUUCAAUUUUAUACACAAUUGUCUUAGUGUAUCAUUGCACCUUACAAGGUUUAAAAGAAAGGAGUAAUGUUGCUUUGAUCUUGACCCGUAAUCUAGUUCCGUGGUGGACUUGCCCACACAACGUUACAAUUGCCUGUUUGUCUGUUCUCAGUUGUUUUGUGAUAUGAAUGAUGUCAUACUAUGCUUAUCGUAUUAUAAACUUCGUCUCUUUAUCCUUAGCCCUCAAUACAAUGUGAAUAAAUAGACAAUACAUUAGCGAUGGUACAUGGUCAUAUGUUUGGAACCUGGUUUUAUUAUGUACUUUGCAAUAAAAUACAACUAAUACUUUACAUGGGUUCACCAGAAUAAGUUCUAUAUAUAGACCAAAGCUAUUUUGUUUGGUUUUGCUACCUCCUUAAUAUCUUCUGUUUUGGUACUACUAAUGUAAAACCUCAACUUUUCAGCGAGCUAUGGAAAAAAUGGUGGAACCGCCACCUUUUGAAGGUGGCGAGGCAACUAUAACCGCAAUGUCAACUCUUGCUGCAGUUGGUCAGUACCUGUCCACUAACAGUGCCAAAAGCACGUUCCUGCAUAAUACUGGGUUGGUUGUUAAGGCAAUAUCGUCCAAACUGCCUCAUGAUCAAGAUAUGCAAGCUCAAAGCAAUGUUGUAUCUGCGCUCUAGACACAAGUCCAUUCCCUAACAAAGACCCUUUGUGAAAUAAGGAGAAACAUUGCUCAAUGUCGUCAAGAUAUGCAUGGUUUUGAAACCAGACUAUCAGACAUUUGCUAUGUUGUUCAGGAGCCUAGGGGAAAUGAAGGCGAGGGUUAUGGUUCUCCAUCGGACAAUACAACAUGAAAACGUAACAGUCAGGUCAAAUGAACUGAGCUUCUGAACUUCUGGUGGUGCAUUUAUCUGCUAGACUAUUAAGUUUUAUGCCAACCUUCCUUUUGUUAUAUAGUUGUAAUUUGUUUUGGUGCGAUACAAAAUUUAUUCUUAACGUGCAGCCACCGACUGAAGAAAACAGGAAGACAUUUUUGUAUAGUGUAGGGUGUUCCCUAUAUUUGCACUGGUGGCGAUCUUUGAUGCCGAGUGGAUGUAAUCUGUGCAAUCGCCUUAAUAGCCUAGCAUUAGGUUUGGCCUUAUUUAUUUCCUAGUCUUCUUUUUCCCUGGUUUGCUAGUGGCUGCAACUACCAUGGGCCAUAUACGGGCCGUAGGAUCCAUGGGUCUCCUACGGGCCAUCGAUAAAUGGGCCUGUAAUCGGUGGGCCUCGGGCCGUCGGAUAAAUGGGUCUACAUGGGCCAUAAUCGGGCGUAAUUGGUAUCGGCCCAGCACGGUAACAGGGCGUUAACAGGCCGUAGGACAGCAAAGGAUUAAUUCUGUCACAGGCAUAAUGGGUCGUUAAUGGCCCAGAAUAUAGGACGGGCUGGAAACGGCGCAAUGGGUUAACAGGCCGACUCUUGCCAUGGGCCUAAUUUGGCCCAUUAGGGGAACAUUUCAGUAAUGGGCCGACUCUUGCCAUGGGCCGAAUUUGGCCCAUUAGGGGAACAGGCCAGUAACGGGCCGGAAGUAAUCGAGGGCCGAAAAGGAGCCCAAGAAUGUAUGGGCCGUCAAUAGGCCGAAAGCUAACACGGGAUGGAAACGGCCCAUGUAAAUCAGGGCCGUUAACAGGUAUAAAGAAAAUUACUGUUCAUUAUGGGCUAGAGUCACCGUGGGCCUGUAAAGGGCCGAAAUAUACGAAGGCCUCAUAUGGGCCGAAAGACGUCGUGGGCCAUACAUGGGCCGAAAGUGAAAUGGGUUGGUGUUAUAUUCGACGGCCCACAUGACGUUGUUGGGCCGAUUUCCUUUAGGGCCUAAUGGGCCGUGAGUUAACGGGCCAUAAAAUGGGCUAUUUGCUAAGAGACCGUUAACAGGCAUUUCAUGGGCCAACCCGUUAACUUUUGACCAAGUCAAACGGGCCGACUUUGUAAGCUAAAUGGGCCAGUGGUGGGCCAUGGCACGUGUCGACAUAUCAUAGGCGCCUAUCUUACCCACUGACGAGCUGACACGUGUUUCGUCCGGCCAAUAAGAAUUUUACACGUGGAAAUUUCCCAUUGGUUGGGGCUGUUAACGGGUUAUCGGAUCCAAAACCCGACCCGAUAGCUUAACGGCGUUCCGUUAUGGUGGAUGCCACGUGUCGGUCACCCUUGACGAAAGCACUUCUGUGACGCGCGAUUUAUCGUCAUGGAAGUGCACACUUCCGUGAUGAUAAUUUUGGUAAUGUCAUGGAACACUUCUACGACAGCACAUGUAUGACUAUCUUGAUUCUGUCAUAAAAUCGUCAUGGAUGUACAUGCAUGACAAAAAACGCAACCUACUGUGACAAACACGUAUCAUCACGGAAGUGUAUUUUUUGUAGUGACGGCACAUCAGGCAGCAACCAGGAGAGACCCUCCAGAAGUACAUCCAGCACUUCAACAACACCCGCCUCAAGAUCCCCAAGGUCACUGUCGGCGUUCUGGGAACGGGGGUCCCCAGACUUGCCUACCUGCGGCCUGCGGCGUGGCUCAAAGGGGGGCCCAGCGCGGCCCAUCUUCACCAACACAAACCCAAGACCCUCGCGAGGGGCCAAGCCUCGCGGGGCAGACGAUGCGGAGCUUCCUCAGGCGCGACCUCGUUAGGCUGGCUCACGAGGAGGCGGAGAGAUCAAGGCGGGGUACCUCACGAGGUGCCCGUGACGCAAGCCAUGACGACCGAGGGCGCCAGGCGGGUGCCAGCCUGCGCAGCGCCCUCCCUUCCUCUUUGGUGCAAAGGGGGCAAGCGCAGCCACGGAGUACCGAGGCAUCAGGCAAAGGUUGCCAUUUCGGUGCAACAAGACCAAGACCAGGAGGACUACGAGACAGAGGUCACCGUGGAGCCCAAGACGGCGUCAUCACCAGAGCUUUGCGCAGGCGAAGACUGCUUUUGUCAGGAUAGUUGAUACUAGCUGUCCCCCUUCAAAUUAGCCCGCCAUUGUUGGCUCCCUUCCCGCUCGAUAUUUGGGAAGAGGACCAGGGCCUUUAUAAAUAGGACCAGCCACCCACAGGGAGAGAAAAAGGAAAAAAGAGAGAGAGGCUAGAGGUUGGGGAAGAAAGAGCUGGCCAGAGAGUUGGAAAGAUAGAGAACGUCAGGUAGAGAGAGAGAGAGGGGGGGUGACUGAGCUCCUCCCAGCAGUUCAUCGCCGCAGCCAACAGCAGACCCUCGCGAGGCUGUUCUUCCUUGUAUUGUUCAUCAUCAUCAGCCUAAGAGGCAAUCCACCACACCACACACUGGAGUAGGGUAUUACACCACAACAGUAGCCCGAGCCAGUAUAAACCCUGUGUCUCUUGUGUUGUUCUUUCCUUAGUUUAGAUCCUAGUAAGGCGGAGGAGUGCAGGUAGGUAGGAGGCGAAAUCUCCGCGCGCACCCCAGUGUUUGAACCUCAAGGGUCUGCCGAAACCCGAAAUCCGACAUUUGGCGCGCCAGGUAGGGGUGCGCCAGAAUCCACCCUCUACCGCUUCGUGCCCCGUCGCGUCGUUAUCACCGUGUCCGGCGACCAGGCGGGCAACCCAGAUCCGUGGGCGGCGUGGCCCGCCCGCACAGAGCCGCUUGCCUCGGGCGACCCUGUGCCCCAGGCAGCUUGCGGUCCGCAGGGCGCUGUGGGCCGCGGGCGACGCGGACAGGCUCCGACAGCUCUCACACCGCGGCAGGCAAGGUCGGCAGCAAGGGCCUCCAAUCACGCCGCGACCACGACACCGUACACCCGCAGGGAGCAUGCGAACUCGAGGGCCGCCCUCACUGUGGCCCGAGAGUUGCUGCAAUGCAGGCUGCUGGAGGGCGGCCACGACGUGUUGCUGGAGUGAGUGGCAGAGCUCCUGGGCUUCGCCGCCUCGGGGGCUCACCCCUUAUCCACCCAGCUCCCAUCUCAGGCCCAGGGCGGCCCGCACGGGGGCUCUGCACGCGCCCGCGGGCUCCAAGGCUACUCCAAUGCCAGCGAAGCUUUCAGCGCCGGACCGGCGGCGGCGCUGCCCCCGCCCCCGGUCCGCGAAGAAGAAGGACUCAACGCGACCCGCGACCCCAGUGGACAGUCGUGCUGCCACCCCACGGUGGGCGCGUCAGGCAGGACCUCGUGGCAUACGGGGCAUUACGGCGUGGCAUUCAGGAUGACGGCGCCGGAGGAAUACGUGCCCCUCAUGGUGGACCGAGGACACCCACACAAGAGCGGACAAGGCUCGCUCCUCAGCCCAAGCUGGGGGGACGAGGCACCAGAAGCUGAGCCUUUCUGGGAGCCCCGGAACGGUCCCACUAGCCACGAUGGCGCCAACGAUUAUCGGGUAUCGCUAAUUUUUCAGGAGCAGGCAUACGUUAACCAUGGAUCGCAGGAGGUGCAGGUCACCACAGCGAGCAGCUGCCCCGCUCCCACGGUCUCCUGCCCCUCGGGAGGAGGGCGCAGGGGGCUGCAGGAGAGGGGCCGGGAUCCGACAUCACCACCACGACGUUCGGAGCAAGGUGCUCUUAGGAGGUAGGCCCUUCGCUGGGGAGGUGCCUUAGGGCCUGCCCCCGGCGGAGGACCCGUGGUCGUCGGGGGAACCACUGGCGACCGCUCUACCCCAUCGGCGGCGUCUUGGUUUCCGGUCGUCGUCGAUGGCACUAGAGUGUGGCACAAGGCGGGGCCCUCAUCUGGCGAUAUGAAGCAAGGCCAGUACCUGUGAAGAAGGCCCAGUGCCUGUGAAGCUGGCCGCCCCGUGACACUCUCACGUAAUAAUGAGUGGGGUUGUACACGUCCCGGAGUCUCAGGGGUGCCGGCCUCAGGCCCUGGGGCUCCCUCCCACGCCCAGUGGCAGCACUUAGCUCCGCGCUGGUGAGAAGACGUCCAAGACUAGACUAGGUGCCGGACGUAGCCUUUUGUUUGCUUUCGCCGCUUUUCCCUUUGGUUGCUGUUUUCCCCCGCUGGAUUCAAGUUGGAUUCGAAUUUGAGAUUUGCGUGUGUUCGGGGAAGGGGUGCUUAGUCUCGUUCGAGCAAUUUCUCGCGUUUUGGUUACCGCAUCGCCUCGGCUCCCUCCCCUCGCGAGCCCCUCGCGAGCCGGGUCAGGCCAAGCUUGCGCGCAGCCUAAACUGCCGCCGACGUGACCUCUUAGGAGGAUGUUUUACUACAGAUCCUACUAAUCCAAUCAGGGAACACUCGAAGCACCACAACCCCCCGCGGGCUGCCUCAGGGCCAACAUGGGACAAAGGUAAACUAGCCGACCAGCGCGUCGCUUGAGCCAACCACUUGGCGCGGGCGCAUGGGCAAUGUAGCGUCUACCAAUACGAUUAACACAAGUUUUACAUAAGGGGCUGCCCCUCCAAAAUGCUCUAACUACAGUCAGGCCAAAACCUGAGUUCUAUUCAUGCAGGGUAAGGAAGUAUGAGCGAUGCGCAAUCAGUCGGAUGAAUCCCCCAAUGCGUUCUCAAGAGCACCACCCGAGCCGUUGCUGGCGUCGCUGAACUCGCCAUCGCUGUCCGCGUCACCGCCAGCGGUGUCAGGGCCGUUCACCACGCCGCCCUCGUCGGCCGCCACGGUCGCGUCGUCGUUGUCUGAAGCGAAGGCCCUGAUGAGAGCAUCCACAUUGUCCUCCACCCAGUGCGCCAGGUCGCCUCGGAUGGCCUGGGGGACUGGGGCGAUGGCGGCGUCAAAAUCAAAGUAGGGAUCCAUGUUCUGGAGGUGGCUGAAGACGCGAUAAAAGGCGCGCCCAAGCAGGCCGCGGCUCGUCUCCUCCACCAACCUGUCAGCCCUGACCGACCGCGCCUCCAGCUGCGUCACCACAUCAGUGAAGAACUGAAGAUUGCCAGCAUAGUUGACUGCGUGCGGUUCGCCAACAGCCGCCUCGCAGAUGUUUCCCAAGGCUGCGUUGGCUCUCUCCCGGAGCGUGGCAAGCAUGGGGUCGUGCUCAUGCUCCAGGAUCCGCCGCUGACGGAUCUCGUCCGCGUUCUGGCCCGCGACGACAUCAGCCUCCUCCACCCGCUGGUGGAGAAGGAGCACCUCGGCCUGGGAAGCGGUUAGCUCACCUUGCAUCACCUCAAGAGCGGCCCGGAAAGCGUCGGCCCGCCGCGUCGCCUCCUCCAGCUUGGCCCUCAAGGCAGCAGUUCUGCCUUCAGCUGCGGCUUGGAUCAACCCCAGCUUCUCGUCGAACUCGUGCUUGAGGUUCAAAUGUGCCAUCGCCACUCGACGUCCGACCUCCUCCAGGACGCGGGCUUCUCGUGCGGCAACAUCAUCCUCCGCCUGCAUCACCAAGCGCUCCCUCGUCUCGAGACACUCGUACUCACGGGUGCGUUCUGCGGCUUCCAGCGUCAGCGCCUCCUCGCGCUUCUGGAGCUCUGCUGAGUCACCGGAGGCCACCUUCAUCGACGCGAGAGCUGCCUCGCGCAGCUCCGCCUGCUCCUCAAGUGAGUGGCACCAGGCCAGGAGCUCCCGAGCCUGCUCCUCCGCUGCCGUUCGCCGCUGGUUAGCUUCCCGAGCCUCCUCAGCGGCCCAAGAUCGGGCCUCCCGAGAGGCCACCAGCGACGCCUUGGCCUCUGCAUCGUGAAGAUCGCGCUGGCGGCGCGCAAGGGCGAUGGCGUCCUCCAGCUCGCGCCUCUCUGCAGCCAGGCGCAAGCCCUCGGCCUCAAGGCGCGCGUCUUCAUCGGCAAGCUCCUCUCCAAGCAGGCUUACCGCGUCAGCCGCCCUUCGAAGGAAUCCUUGGCGGAGAGUGCGACACUCCCGAGCAUGCUCGAGCACGUCCUCCACACCAUCAUCUGCCCCAAGCAAGCGCCGGGGGCCGCGAGUCAGCACUCCCCCUCCGGGCUGGGGGCUGGGGGCUGGCAACCUCGCGAUGGCCGGGCACGCCGCGUCAGAAGCCCGGCCGGGGGCCAGCCCGUCCCCAGGUGAAGAGCACAGGAAGCGCCUCAGCCAAUCACAGUCCACGACCAGGCGAGAAGCCCACAGCAGGCCGGCUAUGCCAUGAGAAGGCCCGCGAAGGAUCGCGAGGUACGCAGGGCCACGAUACGCCUCGGGACGGUUCGCCGCGUCAGUCGCCCUCACCACAAGGGCUCCACUGCUUGGAGCGCUUGAGGACGGUGGAGGGGGCGAAGCCAAGAGGGACGGCUCCUCAGCCGUCUCCGCAAGCUCGGCUGGAAGGGGCCUGCGGAGCAAGAGUCAGUAAGAGCAACAGAAGGAUCGGGAGCUGGGAAAGGAGAAGGCUUACUCAUCAGUGGCGAAGUACUUCCUACGCUUCAGCAGGCGACAAGGGUAAUCGUCGCCCAGGGCCUCCCUUCUCUUUCGGAGGGCCUGAAAGUCCACGCGGAAGCGGCCUAAGAGCCGGGCGCAGGGAUCAACCUGCGACGAAGAUGGAGCGUCAAGGCGAUCUGCGUCAGGGGCGCCUGCCUGGCGUGCACCGCCAAUCGCCUCGCCAAGAGAAGCCGUCGGAGCCUCGGUGGCCUCGGUCGAAGGCGCAGAGGGCAGCUGCUUGUCACCCUCAGCCUCGGUGGCACGGGCCCCGAUAACUGCUUCCUCACGAGCCUCGCCGGGCGUUGUCACCCCGCCGGGAGCCCCUCGGCCUCUGGCACCUCUUGCCUCCCUGCUCCGCCACUUGAGGAAGAGUCGCCUGGGCCGACUGGAAGGGCAGUCACCACCACUGGGUUCUCACGAGGCCCCUAAAGGCCGGCGGGGCGCGGCCCCCACUCAUCGAAGAUAGGCAUCUGCCUCACCAAAUCGCCCCCACUCUGGCAGAGGUACAGCAAGGCCCCUCCCUGCUGGAUACUGCCAGGGUUGGGGUCCCCCGUCAGGGUCAAGAGCACCGCCCUCAGCACGUCAGGCGUCAGGUCCUCUUCCUGGAGCCUCAUACGAUCAUCGCGCCCGCUGAAGGCCCACAUCCGGCGAGAGUGGCGCUGGAGAGGAGCAACGCGGCGCAGCAGGAACUCCUUCACCACCUUGGGCGCUGUCGCGCCAAGCGACCUCAAGAACGCGAAGCAGUGCCAGACGAAGACGAGACGGGGGCUCUCAAGCGUCUCCUGGCCCCAGCCCGAAUUGGGGACAGCAGGCGAAGUUAGCUCCGAUAGCAGGGGGCUGGGCACCCCAGCAUCCACAUACAGCCACCGCUCACGGAACCCAGCCGCGGGUGGAGGGAGCUUGAAGUCAAUCCCAGAGGCCGCCAUCUCAGGCGCGGCAACGAAGCUGACACACGCCCAGCGUUGGGUAGGGUCAACAAGGCGCGGCGAGAAGAAGUGGCGCAACAAGGCAACCGAAGGAAGGAUGCCCAUCAUAGCCUCGCAAACAAAGGCGAAGACCAAAAGGAGAGCGAUGGAUUCAGGACCCAGAUGCAUCGUGUGGAUCUGAUAAUGGGAGAGCACGGCAUUGAAGAAAUCAGAAAAGGGAGGAACCAGACCCGCCCACAGGGCGUUGGCAAAAUACGGGACCUCGGUGGCUAUCCUGCCGAUGGAGAAGUGGGACGCAGGCCAAGCCGUCGUCCUCCCGCAUUCAUUGAAGAUGGUGGCCAGAGCCAAGCUGGCCUUGCCCAAGACCUCGGCGGGGGCCGCCAACGACGGCGGGCAAGGCGGAGACACGGGUUUCUCCCCUCUCCCCUUCUUCGUCGGAGCCAUGGCGAUGGGAAGGGGGGGAGGUUCGAGAUUGAAUUGGAAACAGAAACCAGAGUUCGAGCGGAGGAAGGACAGAGGGCGCUCGAGCAACCAAACAGGGGAACGGCUGUGUACGACUACGAGUCCGCCCAGCAUGGCGCAAAAUAAGGAUGGCGUGGGGGAACAGUGCUGCCCACGUCCAAUCAACCACCACGCGACGCCCAAGGCCGCAGGCUGUUAGGGCCCGCGGCGCUUCGCUCUUACCCUUCCGCCUCCCUGCACGGCCAAGUCCGGGCGUGCCUUGGGCCCGGGGCUACUGUCGGCGUUCUGGGAACGGGGGUCCCCAGACUUGCCUGCCUGCGGCCUGCGGCGUGGCUCAAAGGGGGGACCAGCGCGGCCCAUCUUCACCAACACAAACCCAAGACCCUCGCGAGGGGCCAAGCCUCACGGGGCGGACGACGCGGAGCUUCCUCAGGCGCGGCCUCGUCAGGCUGGCUCACGAGGAGGCGGAGAGAUCAAGGCAGGGUACCUCACGAGGUGCCCGUGACGCAAGCCAUGACGACCGGGGGCGCCAGGCGGGUGCCAGCCCGCGCAGCGUCCUCCCUUCCUCUUUGGUGCAAAGGGGGCAAGCACAGCCGCGGAGUACCGAGGCAUCAGGCAAAGGUUGCCAUUUCGGUGCAACGAGACCAAGACCAGGAGGACUACGAGACGGAGAUCACUGUGGAGCCCAAGACGGCGUCAUCACCAGAGCUUUGCGCAUGCGAAGACUGCUUUUGUCAGGAUAGUUGAUACUAGCUGUCCCCCUUCAAAUUAGCCCGCCAUUCUUGGCUCCCUUCCCGCUCGAUAUUUGGGAAGAGGAUCAGGGCCUCUAUAAAUAGGACCAGCCACCCACAGGCAGAGAAAAAGUAAAAAAGAGAGAGAGGCUAGAGGCUGGGGAAGAAAGAGCUGGCCAGAGAGUUGGAAAGAUAGAGAAGGUCAGGUAGAGAGAGAGAUGGGUGACUGAGCUCCUCCCAGCAGUUCAUCGCCCCAGCCAAGAGCAGACCCUCGCGAGGCUGUUCUUCCUUGUAUUGUUCAUCAUCAGCAGCCCAAGAGGCAAUCCACCACACCACACACUGGAGUAGGGUAUUACACCACAACGGUGGCCCGAACCAGUAUAAACCCUGUGUCUCUUGUGUUGUUCUUUCCUUAGUUUAGAUCCUAGUAAGGCGGAGGAGUGCAGGUAGGUAGGAGGCGAAAUCUCUGCGCGCACCCUAGUGUUCGAACCUCAAGGGUCUACCGGAACCCUAAAUCUGACAGUCACGGACGAGGCCAUCAUCUCCGCGUUCUUCGACGGCGUCCGUGACGUCAAGACGAAGGAAGAGCUCGCCAUCCACGAGGAGCUCUUCACAUCUCAGGAGCUGUUCAACCUGGCGACCAACUGCACAAGAGCCGAGGAGGGGCGCCUCUCUCUCCUUGAGCUGCGAGCCAUGGGCGCGGAGGAGAAGAAGGCCAAGGCCAAGGACGUGAAGCGCAAGGAGGCAGCUGUGCUCGCAGCGGAGCCCGACAUCAAGUGGGGCAGAGAUCAGCCCGAGUCAUCCAAGAACGGCCGACUGUUCUACGCCUUCCACAACCUGAACACCCACAACACCAGCGACUGUCAAGAGCUCAGAGCCAUACGAGAAGGACGCUAUGGUCGAUGCCCCGAGCACAACGACCGGGGCUACGGCCGUGGAGGAGGACAUGGAGGCGGACGUUGGGACGACCGUGGCCCGCGCCAGGAGUGGCGCGACCGGCCUCGUGAGGAUCGCUGGCAGGACCAACCUCGCGAGGGCGCCUGGAGUGACCCGCCGCGUGAAGAUCGCCCCCAAGGCAACGCCGGUCUUCCCCCACUGCCACCACAAAGAAGGAACGACGACAACCACCAGGACAAGGGGGCUGGCGGCUUCCAGGAGCCGUGUGCGAUCGCUUGCAUGUUAGGCGGCGCCCAGGCCCCAGCCUCUCAGUGCACCUUCAAACAAUUCGCUCGCGAGGUGAAUGCGGCACUCCCAAAACUCGAGGCCACGCGCCCGCUCAGGUGGUCCCAAUGCGCCAUCACUUUCAACUCGGCAGAUCAGCUCAAGUGUGCAGCCACCGUCGACGCCCUCCCUAUGCUGUGUUCCCCAGUCAUCAGCAAUGUGCAGGUCACCAAGACCCUCAUCGACAGCGGCGCAGGGCUCAACGUCCUAUCCAUCGACAUGUUCGACAACCUUCAAGUGCCUUAUGAACAGCUCUAGCCCACCAAGCCUUUCUCAGGAGUGACCGGCGGCUCCACCACACCGAUAGGGCAGGUCCGCCUGCCCGUCACCUUCAGGGAGCACAAGAACUACCGCACCGAGCUCAUCGACUUCGAUGUCGCGCACAUCCGCCUGCCGUACAAUGCCAUCCUCGGGUAUCCAGCCGUGGCCAAGUUCAUGGCAGUCACUCAUCACGGCUACAACGUUCUCAAGAUGCCUGGAAGCGGAGGAAUCAUCACGGUCCCGUGUGAAGAGAGGAAUGCGGUGUGCUCCCUCGAGCGCGCCUUUCAAGCCGCAGCAAUCGACGACCCCGAUAGCAGAAAUGAAGGCCCUCUGGAGGCCAUCCCCAAGAAGAAGCAGCCGCACCGUGCAGGACCUCAAGAGGAUGGCGUCGCGAUAGGAGCCUCGUCAGGACCAGCGCCCGCUCCAGGGGCGCCUCCCUCCAUCGCAUAGGAAGGCGUGCCUGGCGCCCUCCUCAGGCAGGGCUCGAGGGCUCUCUUCUGGAGUGCCUCAGACCUUGCCAACCUCACGAGGGAGGCGCUUGGGCACCACUUGGAGGCGUGCUUCGCGGCACGCGACCCUCAGGAGAGCACAGGGCAAGGAGUGCCCACCACUCAGGAGUUCAUCAUCAGGACCACCCAGGAACUGCAAGAAGCAAGAGCCAUGCGUGGCGACAGCCGCCCACGAGGCGCAGCUCCGUAUCCCGGCGAGGAUGCUGGGCUGCGUGUCUGCAUCGACGUCCCGGAGCUCAACAGGACCGCAUCCCAGGAGCAUAUCUGGCCUUCGCGUGUGGGCCGCUGCGAGGGCCCGCCACACAUCUAUGUUCGAAUGCCUUUUGGCUCACCGAGCGUGGCGUCGGCCUAUCAGCGCAACAUGCGGUGUGUCCUGGCGGCUCAGGAAGCCAGGUACCAUGCCGUUCUGGAGGAGAUGGAGACGGUCUUUGGGGAACCUCCCGAGCCCCCAGAGCCUCCCGAGGCUCAGGGUUCUGGCGGCUCAUGAGGAAUCAUUUCUUCAACGCACGCCUUCAGCUGCACUAACUCUACUUAAUCCAUAGAACCAGGUGACAUCUUCCAAGUUCGUUUAGCUGGGAGCGCCCCUCGGGCUGCAUUAUUCCCAAGCCGCGUGGGUCCGUCCCUGUGGCAUGUAUCCCUUUUACUUAUGCCUUUAGCUUACCUUGUUGGGGGUGCCCCUCGGGCUGCAUCAUCCCCAAGCCGCUCGGGCCGGACCCCGUGGCAUGUAUCUUCCUGCAUUUAUCUGAAUUGAUCUGCUCUCCAUGCUUAACCUGCCAAUUGCUUUCACCUGCGCGAUUGCUGCCCACCACGGGUCUGUUCAUCCUAUGCAAUUCGCUUGCACGUUAAAAGGGGGGCUCCUAAGCAUUGCGACUUAGGAGCUCUUACUGGCUCUCCAGCCCUCACCCCCUGGCCUUGACCAUGGCAUCGCGACCUGGCAUACCAGCGACGGCUGAGCUAGCUCGAGGAUCGGGACCUGAGGACCUAGAGUGCUUGCAUCUAACUGCCUUGCAGGGACAUAAAGUCACCAAGACUCAAGACCAGGCGCAACCCGCCUUGAGGUAGGGCCUCGUGAGUCCCGCGCUGUCUCACAAGUGCCCACAUACACCUCGCAGCCCUGCCGUGCAAGCCACGUGUCAGGUCCGGAGGGGCCCUCCAUCCCACGCCCAAGUGGAAGCACCAUGCUCCACGCUGGCUGUCAACACUGCCGAGGAGCGGCUAUGCCUGUGCACAAGCUGAAGCACUAUGCUCCGCGCCGGUGAUAAACAACUGAGGGCAGCCCCACGGUCGUACCAACCUUAGGGAGCCCAGAGCUCAGGGCCCAGCCUCACCCCAAUGCCUCCCCUCGGGAGAGCCGCACGAGGGGGCUGGGCACGGGGGCUGCGCUCGGGUCACGCCCAAGUGCACGCCACCCAACCAGGUCCCCCGGAACUGGGCAUCGUGCGCCCCUCCCGAGGCCUCAGCGAGGGCAGGUAUGGAAAUUAUUUGCAUGUCAAGGGGGACUCCUGAGCAUCGCGAUUCAGGAGCCUAACUGGUCACGUAGCCCCUCACUCCUUGGUCCGUCCUGGUCUCCGGUCGACCCAAUGGCGGUUGAGGUGUGCACGUGGCCGGGCUCUGCCGACGUAGAACAUUGAUCUAUCCUCACGAACUCUCCCUAUAUGCUGUUUGCGUGUCAAGGGGGACUCUUGAGCAUCGCAACUCAGGAGCCUAACUGGUCAGGUAGCCCCUCACUUCUUGGUCCGUCCUGGUCUCCGGUUAGCCCAACGGCGAUUGAGGUAUGCGCGGGGCCGGGCUCUGCCGACGCAGAAUGCAAAGCAAAUAGGAAGGAAAUCGCAAAAUCUCGAAGCAAAUAUUACAAGCAUACUGUUCUCACAAUACCAAAUGAAAAUUCUAAAUGCCUCCACGAGGCCUAAUACAUGUCGCAGGAACGAAACGGGAAGAAUUGCCACAGGUCACCCCUGGAUAUCGCCAUCGCCUGCGAAAGGGGCUCCCUCGUGGGCAACGAUGUUCUCACCUUCACCACUAGCCGUAGGACCCGCGACAUCGCCAGACAAAGGAUCGGAGCCAAAGCCACGGAACAUCCCCAGCAAGGCCUCCACUUGACCUUGUACAGCCGCGGCGGCAGCUUCGCAGUGGUCUUCGGCCACAGGCUCCAGCAACUUGUCAAGGCGAGCGCUGGGGUCGCGGAGGUGCAGAUGGCUGAAGACGCGAGUCAGUGCGGCUGAAGACAGGACGCGAGCUUCUGCCUCUACCAUGGGACCAAGGCCAUCAAUGACCUCCUCAAGCGCCCUCACCACGAGAGGAAGCAGCUGGGCGGGGCCGUCCUCGUCGGUGUCCAGUGGCUUCUCCAGGCCAUGCUCGUAGAGUGUCUUCAGCGCCUUGCGAGACCUCUUCUCGAUAUCAGCGAAGGCCACAUGGUCUUUGGCCAGUACUUGCGCCUUGGCAUCCAAAUCGGCCUCCCUCGUCCCCAUCUUCCGCUCCAACUCUUCCAACCGGUUGCGCUCGGCGGCCUGCUUCUUCCCCAGCUCCGCCAGCUUAGCAUCACGGUUCUUGACGGCUUCCUCCUGGGCCUUCAUAUUCUCCUCCUUCGCUUGGCAACAACGUACCUCUUCGGCGUGCUUGUCAUGCAGGCUCUGCAACUCGCCUUCCAGCGCUUGGCAGCGGUCACGGGCGGCCUUGGCAUCUUUCAGCGCCGCCUCACGAUCGGCUGCAGCUCUGGCGUCUCCUUGCUUCUCCUCCUCAGAAGCCGCAGCAGCCUGGCCCAGCGUCACACGAACCGCAAGGUCGGAGUGAAGCCAGCCAGAGGCCAACUCUAGACGCCCGGCCACCAGGCGUGGGUCCGCGCUCAGGAGAUCCACCUGCAGCUGGGUCAUCUCUGAAAGGGCACGCUCCAAGACAAUAGAGGGAGCAGAAGAACCAGGGAAUGGAGGUGAUGCGGUGGGAGGAAGCGACCCCGUCACCAGGGCUUGGGAGACCGCGGGUUCCAGAGCAGCUGGGAUCUCAUCAGCCGCGUCAAGCGCCGGCACCUCCGGAGCCAGCGGGGCCAUGGGGGCUGAUUCCACGCGGUGAUGUUUCUCUUGGCCCCGCGAGGACGACCGGGCUGGGGAGAUGCGGGCGCUGCUGCCUCCUUUCUUUGCGGAGGGAGGCACGGCCGCCGUAUCCUCCUUCCUCUUCGCCGGCCCAAUCAACCAAAGGCGAGCGUCAGGAAAUAACAGGUACCGUGAGGGAUAAAGUGAAGCUCAAGAUACCUACCGGUUCACCGCGAAGUACUCCACCUUUCGCUUGUGAAGCUUGAAGCCUGACAACAUCGGGACCUGAAGGGCAGGCGUUUGGGUUCUGGCGGGGCCAGGCGGUGCGGAGGCAGAAUCGGAUCCAGCCCCAGGAGGUGUUGGGACGGAGGCAGCACCACAGACCACCAGCAACGACCUACCCUUCAUUGGGAUGCGGGGUUGCUCCCUCCCCCUUGGUAGGCAUCGGCUUCGGCAUCAUCAGGAAGGGCGCGGAGAAUCUCGGCCUUUCUCAGAAGGGAAGUGUCCCCCACCUCUUCCAGGGUCUUCUCUGAGUCCACCUCCUCCUCCACCUUUCCGCGGGACUAGCAAGAAGACACCUCCAUCGGUUUCUGCGCCAUAGGAGCUCCCGGAAGCACCGGUGGCACCAGCCCGCGCGCAUCAAAAGUCGGCCUGGAGGCGAAGAAUUCCUCCCGGUCCCUGCAUUGGAACAGGGGAACGAAGGCGCUAGGUGGAUAAUCCUGGUUGUCGUCGACUAUGAGGCGUAGGACGACAUCCAAUUCAUCGCCAGGCAGGUCCCCUGGCCUCAGGCGGGUCUUGUUUUCCUCUUCUUUGAGCUCCCAGAGGGGGCGCGCGCGCCUGGAGUGGGGCAACCCGCAGUAUCAAGAACUCCCUCAGGAGCAUCGCCCCCGUUAUCUUGGCCGCCCCAGUCAUCAUCUGCCCCAACACUGACGAUGCCGGCUCGUCGACAAGCUCCGCCUUGGACCACCCCUUGCCCUACCGGGGCGCCUCCGUCGGCAACACCAGACAUGGAUGGGCGUGCUUGGCGUCCAUCAUGACCCACUUGGAUCGAAUGUUGUCGGCUCUCUUCCCGGUGCUCGAGAUCGAGUUGGCCUUGCCGCGGGCGACGAAAUUAGCGCACCCGGAGGCAUGCUCGCCGUUGACGCGGAGGAAGAAGAAAUGGCGCAGGAGCGCCACGGACGGCAUCACGCCCAGGUACGCCUCACAGUAGUAGGCAAAGAUGGACAGGAGGAGAACAGAGUUGGGAUGGAGGUGCAACGUUGAUACGUCUCCGUCGUAUCUAUAAUUUUUGAUUGUUCCAUGCCAAUAUUCUACAACUUCCAUAUACUUUCGGCAACUUUUUAUACUAUUUUUGGGACUAACAUAUUGAUCCAGUGCCCAGUGCCAGUUCCUGUUUGUUGCAUGUUUUUUGUUUCGCAGAAUAUCCAUGUCAAACGGAGUCCAAACGGGAUAAAAACUGACGGAGAUUUUUUUGGAAUAUAUAUGAUUUUUGGGAAGAAAAAUCCACGCGAGACGAUGCCCGAGGGGGCCACGAGGCAGGGGGCGCGCCCCAGGGGGGCACGCGCGCCCCUGACCCUCGUGGCCACCCCGUAAGGCGGUUGGUGCCCUUCUUGCGCUGCAAGAAAGCUAAUAUCCGGAUAGAGUUCGUGUUAAAAUUUCAGCCCAAUCGGAGUUACGGAUCUCCGGGAAUAUAAGAAACGGUGAAAGGGUAGAAUCUGAGAACGCAGAAACAGAGAGACAGAUCCAAUCUCGGAGGGGCUCUCGCCCCUCCCACGCCAAGGACCAGAGGGGAAACCCUUCUCCAAUCUAGGGAGGAGGUCAAGGAAGAAGAAGACGAAGGGGCGCCCUCUCCCCUUCUCUUCUGGUGGCGCCGGAACGUUGCCGUGGCCAUCAUCAUCACCGCAAUCUUCACCAACAACUUCACCGCCAUCAUCACCAACUCUUCCCCCUCUAUGCAGCGGUGUAACCUCUCUCUUACCCGCUGUAAUCUCUACUUAAACAUGGUGCUCAACGCUAUAUAUUAUUUCCCAAUGAUGUAUGGCUAUCCUAUGAUGUUUGAGUAGAUCCGUUUUGCCCUAUGGGUUAUUUGAUGAUCAAGAUUGGUUUGAGUUGCAUGUUUUAUUAUUGGUGCUAUCGUAUGGUGCUCUCCGUGUCGCGCAAGCAUGAGGGAUCCCCGUUGUAGGGUGUUGCAAUAUGUUCAUGAUUCGCUUAUAGUGGGUUGCGUGAGUGACUGAAACACAAACCCGAGUAAGGGGGUUGUUGCGUAUGGGAUAAAGAGGAGUUGAUACUUUAAUGCUAUGGUUGGGUUUUAACUUAAUGAACGUUAGUAGUUGCGGAUGCUUGCUAAUAGUUCCAAUCAUAAGUGCAUGAUCCAAGUAGAGAAAGUAUGUUAGCUUAUGCCUCUCCCUCAUAUAAAAUUGCAAUAAUGAUUAUCGGUCUAGUUAUCGAUUGCCUAGGACAAAUAACUUUCUCGUAACAAAAAGCUCUUUACUAAAACUAACUUAGUUGUGUCUUUACCUAAACAGCCCCUACUUUUUAUUUACGUAAUCUUUAUUAUCUUGCAAACCUAUCCAACAACACCUACAAAGUACUUCUAGUUUCAUACUUGUUUUAGGUAAAGCGAACAUCAAGCGUGCGUAGAGUUGUAUCGAUGGUCGAUAGAACUUAAAGGAAUAUUUGUUCUCGUUGGGUUCGACACUCUUACUUAUCGAAAACUGUUGCGAUCCCCUAUACUCGUGGGUUAUCAAGACCUUUUUCUGGCUCCGUUGCCGGGGAGCAAUAGCGUGGGGUGAAUAUUCUCGUGUGUGCUUGUUUGCUUUAUCACCAAGUAAUUUUUAUUUGCUGUUCUUAGUUGUUCUUUAUCUUUAGUUAUGGAUAUGGAACACGAAAUACCAAAAAAAUAGGUGUACUUUCUGCUCAUGGAGAUGGGGAACCUCCUAAAACCCUCGGUGCUGGUUAUGUGAAAGAUAUUAUGUACUCCCUCCGUCCGGAAAUACUUGUCACUAAAAUGAAUAAAAGGGGAUGUAUUUAGAUGUAUAUUAGUUCUAGAUACAUCCCUUUUUAUCUAUUUUGAUGACAAGUAUUUUCGGACGAAGGGAGUACUACUUUAAUAAUCCUGAGAAAACCCCAUUCAAUUAUGUAAUGGGAGUAACGUUGGAUCAACGUGAAUACUUUAGGGAUUACUGCUUGACACAAAAGGGAAACUAUUAUGGGAUCAAAUUCAUAUAUUGAAUUGGUAUACUAGGCAACUAUGCUUGAGAUAUGAUUAUACUUGUUGCUCUAGGAUGAAGGCUCCACACCUUCCCUUUUCAUGCAAAUUUAAUGAUAAUAAGACCUUAGCUUCUUAUGCUAAUGGUAUAUAUGAUUACUAUGAUGUGGAACAAAUAGAAGAAUUUGUUGCUUUUGUGGGUGCUUAUGAAAUUGAAUCUAUGUUUAAAGAGUUUGAAGAUUUUGAUGAUGCUGUUUAUAGACCUGAAAAUUUAGCUAUCCUGAAAUAUUGUUAUGAGAAUUAUGAAUACAAUUACGAAAUUAAUGCGCUUAUCGAGAAAGUCUCCGCUGUCCAAGAUGAGACUAAUAUUUUGCAGGAAUCUAUGGAAGAAGAAGUUGAUGAAACUGUGAGCUCAUUGGAUGAAAAAGAUGAGGAAGAGAGCGAAGGACAAAAGGAGGAAGAGCGGAUUAGCUACCCGUGCCCACCUUCUAAUGAGAGUAACUCUUCAACUCAUACAUUGUUUAAUUCCCCUUCGUGCUUACCGAAGGAUGAUUGCUAUGAUGAUUGUUAUGAUCCUGUUAAUUCUCUUGAAAUAUCCCUUUUUGAUGAUGCUUGCUAUGCUUGUGGCCAAGAUGCCAAUAUGAAUUAUGCUUAUGGAGAUGAACUUGCUAUAGUUCCUUAUGUUAAUGAAAUUGUUGCUAUUCCACCCACGCAUGAUAGUCCUAUUAUCUUUUUGAAUUCUCCUGACUACACUAUAUCGGAGAAGUUUGCCCUUAUUAUGGAUUACAUUGAUGGGUUGCAUUUUACUACUACACAUGAUGAUUUUUAUAGAUAUAAUAUGCAUGUGCUUGCUGCUCCUACUUGCAAUUAUUAUGAGAGAGGAACUAUAUCUCCACCUCUCUAUGUUUCCAAUACAACAAAAUUGCAAGAAACUGUUUAUACUAUGCAUUGGCCUUUACUAUGUGUGCAUAAAUUGUUCUUUUAUGACAUGCCGAUGCAUAGGAAGAGAGUUAGACUUCGCCAUUGCUUGAUAUAUGUUGCUUUGUGCUCACUACUAAAUGCUAAAUCAUUGCUAAUUAAAAUUGGCUUUGAUAUACCUUGGGAUCCGGGUGGAUCCAUUAUUUGAGCACUAUAUGCCUAGCUUAAUGGAUUUAAAGAAAGCGCUGCCAGGGAGACAACCCGGAAGUUUCAGAGAGUCAUAUAUUUCUGUUGAGUGCUUUUAUCUCUCCCUAAUAAUAAAGCACGGAUUGAGUCUCUGGGUUCACCGUCGCGUCCUCUUUUUACAAAGACCCCUGUGGUUUUUAGGAAUCAACCCGUAGUCCUAUUUUAAAGAAAACGUUUCGUUCGUACAUAAAAAACCCUGCAUUAUUGUGUAUUCGACCCGUGGUCCUUUUUAGGGGCAAAAAUGCGUGUGCCGGAGCCAGGGAGCUCGGUUCCGCACCAAGCGCUCGCCCGGACCCCGUCUUCCUCCGCCGCCUCGCCGCGCCGACCGGCAUCACCGGAGACCGCCGCCACCGCGAACAGGUCACGUCGCCGCACCUGCCUUCUCCUCCUCCCUUUCCUUCCUCCCUCCCUCUCACCAUCUCUCUCCCUCUCAUUGCAGCGCCACCAUGGCCGCCCCGAGCUUUGCCGGCAGCCGCGCCGCUCGACUCCGGCGGGAUCCGGCUGCCCCAGCCCGGAUCUGCAUCCUCCGCUCCGCCAUGCCCUGGAUCUGGCCACCACCAAGCCUCCCACAUCGAUCUGCCCGUCCGCCGGCCUCCCCCUGCUCGACUUGGGUGGACGGGCGAAGUUUCUGACUUGCCAUUGUAGUUGACCUGAAGCUCCAUUGGUGAGGACCAUUGCCGCUGCUGCAGGUUAGGGAGGAGGCUCGAGGCAGCCACGAAUUUUGUCCUGCACUGCUUCAACACCGGCCUAUUCUAGCAUGAAUCUUCUGCCGUGAUGUAUUUUCUUGUGCACUUGGAUGCUUGUACCAAUAUUUGUCUAAAAUUGCAACUCAAAAACACCUCUUAAUUGAAAUAAAAUGGGAUGAACAUUGUAGGUUAUUGAUAUGGCAAGGUUGAAUCAUGAGAACACAGCAAAGUUUCUAGUCUAUUGCAGAGAGAGUGACCCAUUCUCGAGGAUGUUAGUCUUUGAGUAUGCAUCAAAUGGGACCCUGUACGAGCACCUACACUGUAGGUCUAUCUCUUCAGUUUCAUUACGACAGACUAAAUAUUUGCAUUUUCUAUGUGUCAUAGAUUUGAUCUCAUUUGUUUUCUUCCUUUAGAUGGUGAAGCAGCCCAAUUCGCUUGGCUCAGACGAAUGAAAAUAGCCAUCAGCAUCGCCCAAAGUUUUAAGGUAUCUGCACACUGAGUCGUGGCCUCCUUUCGCCAUAUCAUAGAUGAAAUCCAAUUCAGUAUACGUUAUAGAAGAUUUUACCCCCAAGGUACUUACAUGGAUUUUCUUUACAAACUGAACUUUGAAAUCCAUUUUAGACAAUUGCUCAUGACUUGACAGAAAUCAUUCUUACGAGCAGGCUGACGACGUCGUCUACUGAGCCCCAUCGGCGGCGCGACGGGAGAGCUCCAACCUGUAUGUGGGUGUGGGGACGCAGAUCUGUGUCGCUAGCCUACACAAGGCCAUGGCACUACAAGAAACUUGUUAAUACAUGACGAUCUUAGUCCGUCACAGAACAGCCAAAAUCUGUCAUGCAUGCAAAUCCAUGACGGAUUUAAAAUCCAUCAUGUAUAUCGCGUCAUAAUUUGACACCGCACCUUCCAUGAUGGUUCUUGGCCGUCAUGGAUUUGCCCCAGGCCCGCCAAGCCCAAACUAGGCCGUGACGGAACAAUCCGUCACCAAUUUACAUGACGUGGAUGCAAUGUGGACCUAACAAGUCGUCUAUGUGGAUCUGACGUCGAGGCUAAUAGCCCAUGUUGUAACCAGCCCAAUUAGGAUUUGGCCCAAUAAUUUUGGUGGAUGAUCCAACCAAUCAGCUAUUUAUUUUUCAUACAUCCUAUUUUCACAAUGGAACACAAUUUACAAGAGGACAACCAAAUUUUAUUCAUUCAAAAAAUAGCAAUUGUUUACAUGACAAUACAGAGUUCCAACAAUCUAGUCUGAUUUGAGAAAACAAAGCUUAAUAUCAAUCACAAGAAUAUCUGGAAAGUGUUAUAAGCACCUUUAAAAAAAUGAGUAACAUGACUUCAAAGAAAAUGCACUUCUACUGAUUUUAAUCUCAAACACUACACCGAACCAAGGAAACUAUCCGAGGCCAAGCAAUUCCUGCUAAAAAACUUCAAUCUCAACUGCCAAACCUGCAUAGAAUCAAAACACAUACAAAAUUGUAAUAAGUUAUAAAAGCGAGCUUCCAAAAUAAUCCAAAGAGUAAUAACAUCCGUGGAAACGCCACUACUAUAUUAUGGAAACAGGUAAAUGUGGGUAACACAUGUGAAAACAACCAGACUAGUUACAAGUUCAAAAAAAUUUGUCCGAAGAAAAGUGUGUCAAAUGAAAGUAUAAUCUAAGUUAGGCUACAAGUGACAAGUAACAAGCACACAUCAGAGCUAAAAGUACAGUAGCAGCAGCAGUUGGUCCAGUCAUCGGUUCUGGACCGAACAGACAAUAUGUGCAUGGGGUUAACCAGGCUGGGAGCUAUCUAUUUUCUGGCCUAGCGAACAGAGAUGAGAUUUCUCAAAGAAGCAAACAAACGUAAUAGAGACAUGUACUUAGUUUUUUUUCUGAGAGGAAGCAGUGCGCCUGUACAUGUAUUUAGUUUAUCUUAUCAACCAUUUCUGUACUCUAAAGAAAUGAGAAAAAAGUGACAUGCACUUAGGUUUUUUUUGUGAGAGGAAGCUGUGCGCACAUGUAAGUACUUGGAUUUUCUGGAUCAAAAUUUUCUGUAUAAGCGAUCAGCUAAAAACUAUGUAAAGAAAAUUCUGCCAGCAUAGACACUAUACCACACCAUUCCUUAACAAACAAGAAUGACAGUAAAGAAGUGACAGACUAACUUAAAAUAAUUAACGCAAACUGGGCAUAAAAAUAGGCCAAGUUCAAAUCCAAAUAUGUAAUGUUGUGGACUAUACUAACUCAAUAUUUAAAUCAAAAUCAGCACCAAAGGAUUUUUCAUAUAACUUGAUGCUAAUGUUGUAAGUUCAUCUCAAAGUGCCAACAAAUACAGUACUAAACAAUACUUGCUUGCCAAGUUAACUUCAAAUGGCAUGCAAAAUAUUAACAAAGAACAUGAUACAGUUUCAUUGAGAGAUCUCCCACACUAAUAGUUUAUUUGUGGAGUACGAAGCUAUGUACUUUUAUUUCAUGAAAAAAAAUCUUUAGUAAAUUAUUAAACAAGAAAAUACUUGAUAAACGGUGAACUAAUAGUUAGGAAAGUCUAGUAGAGUAUGGAUACAAUGCAUGAUAUCAGGGACAUUGUCCAAUGCAGAUUUUAUGCACACAGAAAUAUCUGUACAGUUAUAACUUUACUGGAACCACACAACAGUCCACACCUUGAACAACUCACAACAGUCCGCACCUUGAACAGCUCAAAAUCUACAGCCAGAAUAAUUCACAUCAAG
rnacentral:lncRNA from 1 species